UACGUAAGGUCCGAGCGUUGUCCGGAAUCAUUGGGCGUAAAGGGUACGUAGGCGGAUAAGCAAGUUAGAAGUGAAAUCCUAUAGCUCAACUAUAGUAAGCUUUUAAAACUGCUAGACUUGAGAGAUUGAGGGGAAAGUGGAAUUCCUAGUGUAGCGGUGAAAUGCACAGAUAUUAGGAGGAAUACCAGUGGCGAAGGCGACUUGCUGGAAUCUAACUGACGCUGAGGUACGAAAGCGUGGGGAGCAAACAGG
rnacentral:rRNA from 1 species